CGCGGCCUAUCAGCUUGUUGGUGGGGUAAUGGCCUACCAAGGCGGCGACGGGUAACCGGCCUGAGAGGGUGUACGGCCACAUUGGGACUGAGAUACGGCCCAGACUCCUACGGGAGGCAGCAGUGGGGAAUAUUGCACAAUGGGCGCAAGCCUGAUGCAGCGACGCCGCGUGGGGGAUGAAGGCCUUCGGGUUGUAAACUCCUUUCGCUAGGGACGAAGCUUUUUGUGACGGUACCUAGAUAAGAAGCACCGGCUAACUACGUGCCAGCAGCCGCGGUAAUACGUAGGGUGCGAGCGUUGUCCGGAAUUACUGGGCGUAAAGGGCUCGUAGGUGGUUUGUCGCGUCGUCUGUGAAAUUCUGGGGCUUAACUCCGGGCGUGCAGGCGAUACGGGCAUAACUUGAGUGCUGUAGGGGUAACUGGAAUUCCUGGUGUAGCGGUGAAAUGCGCAGAUAUCAGGAGGAACACCGAUGGCGAAGGCAGGUUACUGGGCAGUUACUGACGCUGAGGAGCGAAAGCAUGGGUAGCGAACAGGAUUAGAUACCCUGGUAGUCCAUGCCGUAAACGGUGGGCGCUAGGUGUGAGGGUCUUUCUACGACUUUCGUGCCGUAGCUAACGCAUUAAGCGCCCCGCCUGGGGAGUACGG
rnacentral:rRNA from 1 species